rnacentral:rRNA from 1 species
CCAACAGGGAUUGCCCUAGUAACGGCGAGUGAAGCGGCAACAGCUCAAAUUUGAAAUCUGGCCCCAGGCCCGAGUUGUAAUUUGCAGAGGAUGCUUCGGGCGCGGUGCCUUCCAAGUCCCCUGGAACGGGGCGCCAUAGAGGGUGAGAGCCCCGUCAGGUCGGCCGCCAAGCCUGUGUGAAGCUCCUUCGACGAGUCGAGUAGUUUGGGAAUGCUGCUCUAAGUGGGAGGUAGACCCCUUCUAAAGCUAAAUACCGGCCAGAGACCGAUAGCGCACAAGUAGAGUGAUCGAAAGAUGAAAAGCACUUUGAAAAGAGGGUUAAACAGUACGUGAAAUUGUUGAAAGGGAAGCGCUUGUGACCAGACGUGCGCCGGGGUGUUCCGCGGGCGUUCUCGCCCGUGCACUCGCCCCGGCGCAGGCCAGCGUCGGUUCUGGCGGGGGGACAAAGACGACGGGAACGUAGCUCCCCCGGGAGUGUUAUAGCCCGCCGUGCCAUGCCCCCGCCGGGACCGAGGUUCGCGCUCCGCAAGGACGCUGGCGUAAUGGUCCCCAGCGGCCCGUCUUGAAACACGGACCAAGGAGUCGAGGUUUUGCGCGAGUGUUUGGGUGUCAAACCCGCACGCGUAAUGAAAGUGAACGUAGGUGGGAGCUUCGGCGCACCACCGACCGAUCCUGAUGUGCUCGGAUGGAUUUGAGUAGGAGCGCAGGGCCUCGGACCCGAAAGAUGGUGAACUAUACGUGGAUAGGGUGAAGCCAGAGGAAACUCUGGUGGAGGCUCGCAGCGGUUCUGACGUGCAAAUCGAUCGUCAAAUCUGCGUAUGGGGGCGAAAGACUAAUCGAACCAU